rfam:Dengue virus type 2 China isolate 04, complete genome.
CGGGGGCCCAAGGUGAGAUGAAGCUGUAGUCUCACUGGAAGGACUAGAGGUUAGAUUAGACCCCCCCAAAACA